AUUGAACGCUGGCGGCAGGCCUAACACAUGCAAGUCGAACGGUAACAGGAAGAAGCUUGCUUCUUUGCUGACGAGUGGCGGACGGGUGAGUAAUGUCUGGGAAACUGCCUGAUGGAGGGGGAUAACUACUGGAAACGGUAGCUAAUACCGCAUAACGUCGCAAGACCAAAGAGGGGGACCUUCGGGCCUCUUGCCAUCGGAUGUGCCCAGGUGGGAUUAGCUAGUAGGUGGGGUAACGGCUCACCUAGGCGACGAUCCCUAGCUGGUCUGAGAGGAUGACCAGCCACACUGGAACUGAGACACGGUCCAGACUCCUACGGGAGGCAGCAGUGGGGAAUAUUGCACAAUGGGCGCAAGCCUGAUGCAGCCAUGCCGCGUGUAUGAAGAAGGCCUUCGGGUUGUAAAGUACUUUCAGCGGGGAGGAAGGGAGUAAAGUUAAUACCUUUGCUCAUUGACGUUACCCGCAGAAGAAGCACCGGCUAACUCCGUG
rnacentral:rRNA from 1 species